CAUGGCGGCAGCCUACACAUGCAAGUCGAACGGUAGCACAGAGAGCUUGCUCUCGGGUGACGAGUGGCGGACGGGUGAGUAAUGUCUGGGAAACUGCCCGAUGGAGGGGGAUAACUACUGGAAACGGUAGCUAAUACCGCAUAACGUCGCAAGACCAAAGUGGGGGACCUUCGGGCCUCACACCAUCGGAUGUGCCCAGAUGGGAUUAGCUAGUAGGUGGGGUAAUGGCUCACCUAGGCGACGAUCCCUAGCUGGUCUGAGAGGAUGACCAGCCACACUGGAACUGAGACACGGUCCAGACUCCUACGGGAGGCAGCAGUGGGGAAUAUUGCACAAUGGGCGCAAGCCUGAUGCAGCCAUGCCGCGUGUAUGAAGAAGGCCUUCGGGUUGUAAAGUACUUUCAGCGGGGAGGAAGGCGGUGAAGUUAAUAGCUUCACCGAUUGACGUUACCCGCAGAAGAAGCACCGGCUAACUCCGUGCCAGCAGCCGCGGUAAUACGGAGGGUGCAAGCGUUAAUCGGAAUUACUGGGCGUAAAGCGCACGCAGGCGGUCUGUCAAGUCGGAUGUGAAAUCCCCGGGCUUAACCUGGGAACUGCAUUCGAAACUGGCAGGCUAGAGUCUUGUAGAGGGGGGUAGAAUUCCAGGUGUAGCGGUGAAAUGCGUAGAGAUCUGGAGGAAUACCGGUGGCGAAGGCGGCCCCCUGGACAAAGACUGACGCUCAGGUGCGAAAGCGUGGGGAGCAAACAGGAUUAGAUACCCUGGUAGUCCACGCCGUACACGAUGUCGACUUGGAGGUUGUUCCCUUGAGGAGUGGCUUCCGGAGCUAACGCGUUAAGUCGACCGCCUGGGGAGUACGGCCGCAAGGUUAAAACUCAAAUGAAUUGACGGGGGCCCGCACAAGCGGUGGAGCAUGUGGUUUAAUUCGAUGCAACGCGAAGAACCUUACCUACUCUUGACAUCCACAGAACUUAGCAGAGAUGCUUUGGUGCCUUCGGGAACUCUGAGACAGUGCUGCAUGGCUGUCGUCAGCUCGUGUUGUGAAUGUUGGGUUAAGUCCCGCACGAGCGCAACCCUUAUCCUUUGUUGCCAGCGGGUUAUGCCGGUACUCAAGGAGACUGCAGUGAUAACUGAAGACGGUGGGGAAUGACGUCAAGUCAUCAUGCCUUAACGAAUAGCUACCCACUGGCUACAUGGCGCAACAAGGAUAAGCGACCCUCUCGCCCGGGAGAGGG
rnacentral:rRNA from 1 species